rnacentral:tRNA from 1 species
GGAGGGGUACCCGAGUGGCCAAAGGGGACAGGCUGUAAACCUGUUGGCGUCAGCCUUCGAAGGUUCGAAUCCUUCCCCCUCCAUAU